rnacentral:misc_RNA from 1 species
AUUAACCACCCUGGCGU